rnacentral:rRNA from 1 species
UACAGAGGGGGCAAGCGUUGUUCGGAAUUACUGGGCGUAAAGGGCGCGUAGGCGGCCUUCUAAGUCGAACGUGAAAUCCCCGGGCUCAACCCGGGAACUGCGUCCGAUACUGGAAGGCUUGAAUCCGGGAGAGGGAUGUGGAAUUCCAGGUGUAGCGGUGAAAUGCGUAGAUAUCAGGAGGAACACCUAUAGCGAAGGCAGCUUGCUGGGACGAAACUGACGCUAAGGCUCGAAAGCGUGGGGAGCAAACAGG